GUGGUGCACAGUCUCAGUUUCUUGUGGAAAAUCAUCGCAGUAGGACGUAUUUGUGACCGGCUUCGGUGACGCAAUUAUUAUCUGCUUACUGAUCCGACUUCAAAGGCGGGAAAAAUUCCAAUAUGGCCGCCAACGUACUUUUUCAAAGAGAAGUUCGAUCUUUUGCUUCUGAAUUAAAGCAGCUAUUAUAUAUUUGAAGAAAUUGGAGUAUUGUGAAAUCAAUCAACGAAAAUGAAUAUUUCAUAUGGUAUCUUUUCUUUUGCUUCGAUUAUUAACAUUUUUCUAUAAGAAGGGCCCUUCGAUUUUAGAUUGGUAUAUAGUCAAUAUAUAGAUAUAUAGGUAAUACCUUUGAUAUGAGUAGAGAAAUAUACAUUUAGAUUUUAUAAACUAACAUCAUCAUUCUGAUCAAUAAAAAAUAUUUGUAUUUUAUGUAAUCCUCUCGAUUUUAUUAAGAUUUUUCUGAAUAAAAAUAAAUUCCCUAAAUGUUUAAAUGUUUAUAUGUACUUUUAGAUUUAUAUUAGGUAGGGAUUAAAAAUAAAUGUAGGUAGGGAUUGUAAAGAAUAGUAGAUUGGAGUUAAAUAAAAUGAAACUAUUUUGAAUUAAUAUUCUUUAAGGAUCAUAUUAUGUUACAUUCAUAAUUAGAAUAUUUUUAAGUUUAGUUUUAUUUUAAGAUUUAUGAAAUAUUUGUAUGUAUAAGUUUAGUUAUAUAAGUAUAUGGUUUGUAGAAUUGCUGCUGUAGAAAUAUUGCUUAAAGUAGAAUAUAUUUGCAUGGCAUGUAUAAUUGUAAUAGUAGUAGUAGUAGUAGUAGUAGUUGAUAUUAAAAAUGAUCAUGAUGAAUAAAAUGAAUAUAAUUCUGUAUGGAAUACAUUUAAUAUUUUUUUAAUUCUAUAUAUUUUGAGUGUUCAAUUUCAUAAUUUUUAAUAUUUUAUAUUUCUGUGAUAAUGAAUGUUUAAAAUAUUGACACGUUCUUAUCUGUAAAGUAUCUGUAUCUCAUAUAGAGUUAAAUAUGAUCGAAGUAUAUUUUAAUUUUUACUUUCAGGUUUAGCUUUCGCGUCGGUUUUCCUUCGAAUUCCUUUUGCUGUUUGUUUUGCACAACGACUAAAGAUGAUGCGUUUUGCAAAUCUACAUCAAAAGGAAGAUUUGUUUUUGUUUUUUAAUUAAAUUGUUACGUAAGGAGGGUGGAUGGAAUCGUGGAUAGGGUGGGUCUCCAAUUCGCAGCAACCUCCACGCGGUGAGACCUGGAAAAUCAUUAUUAUUUUCUAUAAAAUUCAUAAUCGUAUUUAUGAUAUAAUUGUAAAUUUUAUAGGAAAUAAUAUGAGCUAAUUGGCUGCGCUCGCGAUUACAACGAUUAUUUUUGCAUAUAGUUAUUAAAAUUUAUUUAAUAAAUUAUUGAUAACAUCUUUAUUUUUAUUUAUAAAGAUUAUCUUUUUUUCUUUUUCGAAAAGAAAUAUGCAAUUUAUUGUAUAGUAUUGUAUAGAAUUAAUUAAUUAAUAAUAAUUUUUGAUAAAAAAAUUCAAUGAAUUUCAAUAAGUUGGAUUUCUUUUUGUUAUUCUUUUGCCAAAUAAUUUGAAAAUUAAUUAUUUCAUAAAUUUUUAUUAUUUUAUGUGUACUGUUAAUUCAUUAUUUAUGAUUAUCGCCAGAAUUAUAAAUUAUAUGAAUUAUAUUGAUAAUAAAAUUUUUGAUUAUGUUGCGAAUGAUAUAAAAA